rnacentral:misc_RNA from 1 species
GGAAGUAAAAGUCGUAACAGGGUUUCCGUAGGUGAACCAGCGGAGGGAUCAUUACAGGACUCGCAAGACUCCUACAACCCUGUGAACUUAACUAUAAGCACGUUGCUUCGGCGGGUGUCUCGGAGGGGGUUCUCCCUCCCCGAGACGCUAAACCCGCCGGCAGCCUACUAUACUCUGUCUCUUUGCGUUGGCAUCUCGAGUACAAUCAAACAAGUUAAAACUUUCAACAGCGGAUCUCUUGGUUCUG